UUUCCUCACUCUCUCUCACGUGCACUCCCCUAUCUCCCUCACUCUCGACACUCUCUCCCUCACGCUUAUUUUCUUCUCACUUUCUUCUUAUGUUUCCAUCCUCUUCUGCAAGUGCCACACCACCAGCACCUUCUUCUUCUUCUUCUUCCAGAGCAAACCGCCACCACCACACUCUCCUUCUGUUUCCCUCUGGCCAACCGCGAGCACCACCGCCUCUUCAUCACCAUCACUGCGUCUUCUUCUUCUUCUCCCCAUGAGACCCACCGCCAGCCACGCCACCACCGUAGCCUCUGCUUCGUCGACCAGAGCCGCGAGCAGCCACCACCAUUGUGAGCUUGUUUCCGGCGAGAAAAAGAAGUGUAAGGCAGAAAGAUGGAGCCACCAUGAAACCCGAGCCGCCACCUUCAAAGCCCGAUCUCCGGCGAACCGCUCAUCUACUGGAGAAACUAACACCACCGUUGGACUCCUCUCAUCGUCCGCAACAAAACCCCCCAAUCAAUUUGACCAUCGGCCACCGUCACUCCGGCGACCGCCGCCACCGGCGUUUCUCCGGCGAGCUUGGUUCUGAAAAUCAAGGGCAAUUUAUCGAAGCUCUCGACCUCCUCAUCUUAUACCGAAGGCCAAAUCAUUACUAAGAGCUUGGUUGAUCAAGAGUAGAGAGGGUUGCCACGGCCAGAAAAGAGGAAGAAGCAAAGUUCAGAGACUUGAGGUAGAAGGGGGAAUACAUACGUGUCAUGUGCUUAAAUUGAUCCUGGCUUUGCCUUGGAUAGUUUUGGGGAUAGCCCUAGGAAAAUAUAUAUAUGCUUUCAUGUACCAAGUUGUAUUUAUAUCAUUUCAAAACUUAUGCUACUGCUGUACUUGUUAGGUUUUGCGAGCUUAGUGAUUUGAGUGGAUAAAAAAAAGUGUUAAAGUUUUUAGAAUGAAACAAACUUGGCAGGAUUUCGAACUCUUGAACUCGUUCUUAAGCUAUGUUAACAAGCGAAUUUAAAGAAGUUGUCUUCAUAAGAAUUGUAGAUAUUUUCGUUAGAAAACGUUUGCCACUGGUUUCAUGUCAUUCCGAUGUCUGUAGCUCGAAUUAUACGCUUUUUAGUGAGCAUGAGUUAAGCUGUCCCGUUUCUCACGAACUGCUGUUAGUAUUCGAUUUUUCCUGAAUUUUUUACUUUGAAUUUCGACUUGAAAAUUUACACGGAUUUAGAAAACAUGUUAAAGAACCUAUGAUAAAAUUAUUAGAUUUUUUGAAGUGCAUUUGACGUAUUUAAAAAUUAGCCAAAGUCGCUGUACAGUUUAUAAUCGUUUGACAAAAUUAGUUAUUUCAAGUGCUAAGAAUUGCUUUGAAAAAUAGAUGAGAAAACCUUUUAUUUUAAAAUGAUAUAUUACAAUGCUUUGGAGUAGGAAAACCUCUUUUGGACUUUACUUACGUACGUUGUUUAUUCGUUUAUGAAAAUAGAGAACAUUUGAGUUUUACGCACGAGUAUUCGUUAAAAAACCGAAUGCGAAAGGUUUUGAAAGUCGAACAAGUUUUUGGAGUGUUAGGGAAUAAAAGUUUAUUAUUAUCUCCUUAAGUUGAUUUACUAAGUCCAAUGUUUGAGGUCGUAGUUCUAGACUUGGGAAGUAGGUAGCUCAAUUAGUAAUUACGUUAUGUGUACUUAUGAACGGUACGAAUAACAGAAGCACUUGGCGAUGAAGUCAAAGAAUAAAAGGAAGUGAGCCGACACGGGAAAGCAAAGAUGUGAUUGGAUUGGGGUUGCAGUUUAGGAAGGAAAUUGGCUAAGGCGAUGGAUAAUCUUCGAUGGAGCUUGACCUUCGUACGAGUCGGAGAUGAGAACUUGGAGAACUGUGGAAGACUUGAAGAAUAGAGUCGGGUGUAGAGUUAGAGCCUUGAGUUAGAGAGCUAACCAUUAUUGGUUUAAGCUUGCAUAACGAUUUUAGAAAUUUAUAUUUGGGGUUUCGGGUACUCGCCUUGUUCAAGGCUUGAUGUAAAUCCCUUUGUAGUUGGGAGUAUGCAUGACAUGUUUUGAAAAUAUUUCGAAAAGAAAAAAUAAUACUUG